GGGGGACCCUGGACACUAAAUCCUCUCUUAGAAAAUCGCAAGAGUGGAGAAACCUGUUGAGAUAUUAUAUCCUCUUCCCCAUCAGGAAAUGCAACAUCUGCGUGUGCUCUUAAGGGUUCUCUUUUUUAUUUCCUCAUCGCCACAGAUUUUCAUUUCUGGCUAAAAUGUCAGACACUAUAAACUUGCACGUACCUCUGAACUAACUUUGUGUAAGAUGAGACCAGGGGAGCUGAGGGGAAGUGCUUUUAAAAAACGGAAAGGUGGGAGGAAUUGAGAAGGGGAUGUAGACUAGUAUCAAAGUUUAGCCAUGACAAAUAAACACGGAGAUAAAUAA